UGCCAGAUUUGAUCAAAUGUUGAUAAUUUAUUGUUCAGAAUAUAUCUAAUUCUUUCUAAGUGUACAGUGUUUUGCUUUACAGGCUUUGAUACUGAAAUACUUGCAUAAUCACAGUUCUUGUAAUUCAGGUGAACGUGUUUUGUUAGUUUAGGAUACAUUAUGAUCAUUUACAGGGGUUGAAUAAAGUUCAACAAGAUACUGCUGCCUCCUAUGAGCUCACAGCCAAGCUGGGUCCAUGCAAAUGAUAUAAGGAAGGUGUGUUAUCAGUUUCCAUCUAAACAGGUAUUUCAGCCUGAGACAGGCUUUAGGGUACAAGGGAGGCUCAUUGUGUACUGGAGCUAGCAAACCAGAAAGUUUUUUUCAACAGCUGUUGACAAGAUGGACAGAGAGAAGUUCACGCAAUACAGAAUUUAAGAUGAGAAUACUGCCAUCUGCUGGAUACAUCUGAAAAUCCAAGAUGACACUAAAUCGCAGGGAUGCGCCUGCGUACGUUUUGACGUCUACCGUUUCCGGAAGUCGAUCGUUCACUCCCGUGGUCCAGAGUAAAAAACGGCGAGAGACUUCAGACCGCAAAGGACGAGGACGAAGAUGUUGCUGAUCCCAUCGACGACAGAGAAAUAUUUGAUAUC